rnacentral:rRNA from 1 species
UAGGGANUCUUCCGCAAUGGGCGAAAGCCUGACGGAGCAACGCCGCGUGAGUGAAGAAGGAUUUCGGUUCGUAAAGCUCUGUUGUUAGGGAAGAAUGAUUGUAUAGUAACUAUAUACAGUAGAGACGGUACCUAACCAGAAAGCCACGGCUAACUACGUGCCAGCAGCCGCGGUAAUACGUAGGUGGCAAGCGUUGUCCGGAAUUAUUGGGCGUAAAGCGCGCGCAGGUGGUUUAAUAAGUCUGAUGUGAAAGCCCACGGCUCAACCGUGGAGGGUCAUUGGAAACUGUUAAACUUGAGUGCAGGAGAGAAAAGUGGAAUUCCUAGUGUAGCGGUGAAAUGCGUAGAGAUUAGGAGGAACACCAGUGGCGAAGGCGGCUUUUUGGCCUGUAACUGACACUGAGGCGCGAAAGCGUGGGGAGCAAACAGGAUUAGAUACCCUGGUAGUCCACGCCGUAAACGAUGAGUGCUAAGUGUUGGUCUCAUAAGAGAUCAGUGCUGCAGCUAACGCAUUAAGCACUCCGCCUGGGGAGUACGACCGCAAGGUUG